UUUUAGCACUUCUCCUUUCACUGGAGGAGAGCAGCGCGCGCCAUGAAGAGCGUCAGCGUGUGAGUGUUGCGCCGCCAGAAGAUGAUCCUGCUGCCGGGUCUGCUGCUCGUUCUCUGGGGAGAACCGGGUCGGUGCCUGGAGGAGAACGGAGGCUUCCUUUUUGAAGGAGACAUCCGGCACUUCGCCGCGGCCACCAACGCGGUUUACGUCGCGACAGAGGAGAGGCUGUACCAGCUGAGCCACGACCUGACUCUGGUCCAGAGUCUGACUCAGAGGGGGGUCUUGACGGGUGGGCAUCAAAUCAACGAUGCGAACUUUACCCGGUUCGGUGAGACGGAGAAGCGGAACGCAACUUUACGCGUCAACAUUUUGUUGCCGCUGGUUGGGGAUCAGUCUCUGAUCAGCUGCGGAGUGAUAGAGUGCGGUUACUGCGAAGUGUUGGACCUGAAGAACAUUUCAAAUGUGCUCUACAGGGAGCACAUCCUGGUGGGGUCUCCGUGGACCAGCAGCGCGUCCAUCGGGUUCCUGGUGGAUGUGGAGCAGAAAAAAAACGAGACUUAUAUUCUGACUGCCAAUCAGCAAUAUGAUCCCCCAAAGAGCAGCUGCUCCUUCAUAACUGAAGCGGUGAAGCUUCACAACACGAAUGAGAAUCAAGAAGGAUCUAUAUUUUCUUUAAAUGGAGACUUCACUACCUCUUCAAUCAAACAAAUCGUAGGCAAAGCUGAGUUUGUGGAUGGAUUUCAGAUCAAUUUAAACAUUUAUCUUUUCUCCAACCUGCCCUCAAGUGACAAGAUCAACAAAGUCCGUCUCAUUUGGCUCGAGGGUAAAAAAAACAAAAAGGAGACUCUCCAGUCUCUGCGGGGCGCAACCCUUCGUCUCUCUGGCGGCGGGGAAGGCAGCAGACUCCUCGCCUCCGCGGUGAUCCCAGGUGGGCCGCCGGUGCUGUGGAGCGGCGUGUUCAGUGUGGACGGAGGACAAGCCAACACCCAGCUGGUGCUGUUUGACAUCAGUCCGGAUCUCAGCGGAGUCGCUGAUGCAGAUCCAGACUUCUGCAGUGUCUGCACCCCCGAGAAGACAAUUGCAGAUCAACAGACCCUGAAGCCGAAGGCCGUGCUCUUUAGGCAGAACUACAUGACCUCUGUUCUGGCAGUGAGACAGAAGGCCUGGAUGGUUUUCUUUAUCGGGACAGGAGAUGGGCAGCUUAUUAAGCUUGCUGUGGACAAGAACUAUCAGACCACCUGUCCCAGGGUGCUCUACAGGGCCAAUGACGACCGCCAAGUGUUUCCCAAAAUGCUUCUGGAUCAAGUGGAUCUUAAACAUGUGUACUUUGUACCAUUACAAAACACGAUGAAGCGCGUACCCGUGUCUAAGUGCAGCUCACACACUAGUGUGCAGGACUGUUGGUCUGCACAGGAUCCAUACUGCGUCUGGUGUGGAUCCAAAAGAAGUUGCACGUUUGAAGAUGACUGCCAAGAUUCAGACUGGAUAUCCGUUCCUGAUGAUUCUCAACCGAAAAUGGUUUCCUACAAAGUAGCAAAGGACGGCGCCGGCCAGAUCACACUCGACAUCCAGACACAUCUCACUGUGGGCCAGGAGGCUCGGUCUAACUUCGCCUGUCAAUUCUCCAGUUUCAGUGAGCUUUGUAGCCCGCAAAGCCCUCCUCCACAGUUCCCACAAUGCAGCUGCGUCCUUUCAAAUAGCACACUUCCUGCUGAAGGCCUGCCUGUCACAGUUAAAUUGAGACUUGGGACGACAGAAUUGAGGGAACAACUGAAGCUGUCCAACUGCUCUGACAUCAAGGGACCACCAACGUCUGUCCUGUGUCGGCAGUGUAUCGAGGCUGGAUGUGGCUGGAGCAAAAACGUCUGUUCCUGGGCAAAAGGAGGAGUGAAGGAUGACAACAUUUGCCAAAGGAUGGAGUCAGGGAUUAACUUUUUUAAGCCAGAGAUCUCCUCCAUCACUCCCAGUGUCGUGUCUUUCUACGGCAGAGACCAUGCAGUGUUGUCGGGUUCCAACCUCAGUGACGUCACUAGAGUGAGGAUCCAGGCGGACAUGGACUGCACUCCACAAGAGUCUCCUGUUUGGAACAACGUUGGAGUGAACCUAACGUUCCACAUUCCCAGUACCGAUAAUAAAGGCACGGUCAACGUAUGUGUUCUCCUCCCAGACGGUAGUUGCCAUGGCAAAUCUACAAUCACCUACCGGUCAUCCCCCUCCUGCACCAACAUUGUACCAAGCUGCAGCUGGAUCAGUGGGAGGAGGGAGGUCACACUUGUGGGGUCCCACCUGGAGUUUUGUGAAGGGGUCGUACACAGCCACAACCUGCAGGACGUCAGAGCUCCCAGAAAGCGAAACGAUCAGAAUUUCACUUAUGACACACCUGCAGCGGACAAAAAGAUGUUGAGCAGCUCUGUGUUUCUGAAAGUAGCGAAUGAAACCUUGAACUGCUCCACAACAUUAAAGUACUAUCCAGACCCCGAGUUCACUAGCUUCACAUCCACGAGGACCGGGGACGACGUCCGCAUCACCUUACAGAAAAAGGCAGACAAACUGGAGAUGAGCCUGUUAGAGUUGUCGGUGUGGGGCGUUGAGGGAGGAAAACAAUACCCCUGCAUCAUGGAAGCCAAAGAAAGCAGUAAUGAGACAGACUUUUUCAUCUGUGAGAUUCAACAGACACCCAACACCAAAUUUCAGCACUUAAUGAUCCGGUAUGGAGACAAGACGGUAAAACUGAACGCCCGAUCUUCAUUGCAGCUGUACCUGCUUCUUGCCCUUCUGCUGAUACCCUGCAUUAUUGUCGCGGUGGUGAUCUUCUACCGAAGCCAGCAGAAGAAGCUCACGGCUAAGAUGAACAAGCGUAUGGAAGACCUGGAGCUCGACAUCAGGAAUGACAUUAGACAAGGUUUUGUGGAUCUGCAGACAGAGAAAGCUGACCUGAUGGAAAAUGUUGGAGCAAUUCCUUUCCUGGACUACAAGCACUUUGCCUCCAGAAUCUUUUUUCCAGAGAGGGAGUCUUUGAUGGCAUUGUGCAUCAAAGACAUUGGUCAGGACGCCGUGAAGGUUCAGCUCGACGAAUGUUGCCAGUGCUUGUCCAGGCUGCUCCAGGACCAGCUCUUUCUCACAUCUAUGGUGCACGCUCUAGAAGAGCAGAAGAGCUUCACCAUCAAAGACAAGUGUGUGUUGGCUUCCUUACUGACCGUCGCGCUCCACAACAACUUGUCGUACCUGACGGAGGUCAUGAAGACUCUGCUCCGGGCUCUGACUCUGCAGAACAGCAACGCUCAGCCCAAACUGCUGCUGCGCCGCACUGAGUCCACCGUGGAGAAACUGCUGACCAACUGGAUGUCCAUCUGCCUUUAUGGCUUCCUCAGGGAAAGUGUUGGGCAGCACCUGUUCCUCAUGGUGAGCGCUCUCACGCAGCAGACAGCAAAAGGACCUGUGGACUGCGUGACAGAGAAAGCUCUGUACACACUCAGCGAGGACUGGCUGCUGUGGCAGGCUCAGGACUUCAUCUCCCUGAAGCUGAAGGUGCUGUUUGCAGUGGGCAGUGACGGAGAGGUCAGCGAGCCUCUGGAGGUCACCGCUCUCAGCUGUGACUCAAUAGAGCAAAUCAAAGAGAAAAUCCUGUCCACCUUCAAGGCCAAGUUUGGUUUCCCCUACAAUACCCACCUCAGGGAUGUUUGUAUCGAGUAUGAGAAUAAUGGAUCGUUUGUGGGUCUUGAAGAAGUGGAUGCGAGCUCUGAGGUUAUCGGGGAGGUGACAAUGCUCAACACACUCAAGCACUACAAGGUUCCUGAUGGAGCUACAAUCAAAGUGCUUUCGAGGAAAGGUCAUCCUUCUCUGAGCCAGCAGGGAAGCCUGAAGGACGAUGAGAACUUCUCCGGAAAAUACUUCCACUUGAUUGAUCCUGAUGUAGAUGAGGACCAAAGAAAGAACCCAGAGAGGAAGAAGUUAAAACUGAAGGAAGUGCACCUCACCAAGCUGCUCUCCACCAAGGUGGCGGUGCAUUCAUUUGUGGAGAACCUGUUCAGAUCCAUCUGGGGGAUGCCGCACAGCAGAGCCCCGCAAACUGUUAAAUACUUCUUUGACUUCCUGGACACUCAGGCAGACAUCAUAAAGAUCACCGACCCAGAUGUCCUGCACAUCUGGAAGACCAACAGUCUACCUCUGCGCUUCUGGGUCAAUAUCCUGAAAAACCCCCAGUUUGUUUUUGACAUGGAGAAGACUCCCCAACUCGACAGCUGCCUCACUGUCAUCGCUCAGGCCUUCAUGGACUCCUUCUCCCUCAGCGAGACCCAGCUGGGAAAGCAUGCACCAACCAACAAGCUACUCUACGCCAAAGACAUACCCAAGUUUAAACAGGAAGUAAAGGAUUACUACAAGCAGAUCAGAGACCAGUCACCAAUCACAGAGUCAGAAUUCAAGGAAUUCCUGCAGGAAGAGUCAAAGAAACACGAAAACGAGUUCAAUGAAUCUGCGGCCCUCAGAGAGCUCUACAAAUUCAUCCAGCGAUACUUCACCGAGAUCAAAGACAAGCUGGACCAAAACGGCGCCCCUAGUGAGCUGACGGAGCAACUACAUCAUGUUAAAAACCUGUUUGAUGGACUAAAAAGCUGCCCCUGGAACUGAGCUGCCAUCCUUUCACUGUUAUGAAUACCUAGAAGACUUUCCCCCCCCAAGUUGAAUCAUCUCUGCUACAAAGUGCUGCCAAACAUGUCAGUUGGAGUUAUGCGUCUACUUUUGAAGGAACUGAAGAGAGGCACCAAUCAACAUAAAGAGGUCCUUCUCUACCGAACGCUUUUGGAACUGUGGGAGGGACUAAGACGCAAAGUCAGGAAGCACAAACUGAAAUGAGAAGUGCUUCAUCUCACUCUUAAUGUCAAGUAGUGUAGAGGUCAGAGGUCAGGCUGGGAAGUGGGGUCCCUCUGCACCAGAGAUCCCAGUUCCUCCAGCUGCUGCUGCUGGGCGCUUUCCAGGUCCUCCAGCCUCCGACGGAGUAGGCACAGCUCCCUCUGAUGCUGCUCCUCCUGCCGCACGGAGGGAGAACACAAGCUACUGGGACCACAGCCAUAUUCAUACAUUUUAAUUAAUUUCUAACUCCAGAUUUCCUGCAUGCUGUCCAUCGAUCAAAUAGUGCUUCUUCAGUUAGCCGGUUUGUCUCCAUUACGCUACACAGCGCUCUCAUCCAUUUACAGACCGAUGCAAACAAAGUAAGAGCUUACUGGUAUGUUGGCUAACGGCCCCUCAGACCCGAGGAGAAGAAAGGGGGUGGGUGAGGUCAGGAAGGCGGGGCCAGCGCUGUAGGUACCCUGACCGCCCACUAGGAGACGCCGAAACUCGUUGUGUCGUCGCUGCAGCUCCUUCAAUCGUCUGUUAAGUUGAGCCUGCUCCCCUGAGAAUGAUGGUCUAGACACAGAGGGGGAAAAGUUUAAAAUAAGACUUAGCCGGUAAUUUUAGUGUUAAUUUAUACUUUACUUGUAGGCAUUGUUGAAAAGGACGUCUCUUAAUUUUCAAGAAAUAUAAAGUGAAGUUGACAAAAGUAACUUUGACCAGUGACAAAACAGUUUACUUCUUUGCUGCAGCAGCUUCCAGUUCCAGCUCUUCUAUCUUGGCCUCCCGCAACUGAAUCUUAUCCUGCAGUCUCUUCUCUUUGUUCUCCGUCAGCGUUUUCCUCUGACAUACACACACACACACACACCACACACACACCACACACCACACACCACACACCACACACCACACACCACACACACACUUUAUCUGCAUGUUCCAAGUAGAAAACGUUGAGUUACUCCCGAGACCUUUUCAAUGUUACUAAUGUGGUAAAUAAGCAAAGGGAAGCCAACACAUGACCGCCUCUCAGAGUCCUCUACAGAAGACAGAUUCGAUGUAGUUCACUGUUCUUAAAACAAAAAGACAACGUGUAGAAAGAAGAAACCCUUCUGGAAGGUUUUUGGUACAUUGCAGCAGUACCUUCUUCUGGGCCACUGCUGCCCUCUGCAGUUUCUCUUUGUUCCGAGAGUAUUUCUGCUGCAGCUCAGCGUCUCGCUCCUGCAGCUUGUGUUUCUCCUCCAACCACUCAACCCGGUGUUCCUCCACCAGCCUGGGGGGGCAGAGAGAGAGGGGGGGGACAGUGGUGUAUUGAAGCGAUAUUUGCAAAGAUGCAUGAUUCGAUGGCUGUAAUUAUCUAACCAACAUGGAGACGGUGCGGUACCUCUCUGCCUCGUGUUGGCUCUUCUCUGCCUGGGUUCGGGCCGUCCGCAGAUCCUCUCUGAUUCUGUCCAGAGUUUCUCUCAGUCGCUGGUUUUUCUCCAUCAAGUCACUUUCGGAGUGAGCCAGCGUCCCCAGCUGCACACCCAGUUCCUGGUUCUGCUGUUGGGUCAAAUAAAAAGGGCUUUAUGUUGGCCAACUCCCCUGGCCUCGCUGGCUCCAGGACAAACCUGCUGGAGGUCAGCCAUCUCUGCUUUCUGUCUCUCGAGCUCCUCAAGAUGUGAGCUUUGCUGCUGCACUUUGCUUCUGUGAGACAAAAACAGUUUCAAUAAUGAGGGAACUAGAUUUCAUUAAAAACAUAGAAUGCCACAACAAAGAAAAGCCAUUUUAAAAAUGUAUAAUCUAUUGUAUGAUCAUUAAAGAGCCUUUCCCACUCUGCAAUACAGCAAACUGCUGAUAUGUGCAGUAGUCUUAAAAACUUCAGUUACACUUCAUCAACAUUUAUUUCAGAGAAUAAACUGAGGCUCUACAUGUACAGGUGUUUUUAUGUAAUAGAUAGCAAAUAUUACAUGAAGAAUGAGCAGCUUGACUGACGAGGGGGGCUUUAUAGAUAUGGCAACGGUCAAUAAUCAGGAGAAAGCUGACCUCAGGUUCUGCAGCUCCCUGCGGGCCGACUCCUCUCCUUGUUGAGCGUUGCGAAGACGCUCCUCCCAUUCCUCCUUCUGGGCGUGAUCUGCAGCGUCCUGCAGAGCCCUCUGCUGUUCCAGGGAAGCGAGGCGGUUCUCCACCUCCAACCUAACAACAGAAAAGAAUACAAAAGACCAUGACAGCAGCAAAGGGAAGAGAAAAGACCAGUACGGCAUUUAAAAUUCAACAGCGGGCAUGUUUCCAAAGCGAGACGUGCUACCAGGUGACGGGCAUCAGUAACUGGAAUAAAACAACGGUGAUUCUCACUUUUCCUCGUGCAAAGUUGCUGUUGUGCGGAACUCCUCCUCGCGGGCAGACUGCACCUUCCUCACCAUCUCCCUCUCUUUCUCCACGAGGACUUCCUUGUGUCGCUCUACCGCAGCCUUCCACACCUCCACGUCCGCAUGCAGACCUGAGACACAGCAGUUACCACGAGAAUCGUGUCAUAUGUACUGUAAAUUAAUGGAGUAUUCUGUCAGAGACAAGAGCGACAUAUAUUCUGAAACGUGUGUGUAAUGCUGUAUAUUCUUUUUUCUUAAUUCUAAGUCAAAUCGGUUUAAUCUUUGGUUAUUUGCAGAAAACACAAUUCAAAUGAAUAGGAAAUAUUUGUUUUUUUAUAUUUGCUCUGAUAAAAAACUAAAACUUGCCAUUAGUAGUUUUUAUGAUUUAUUAAAAGCUGCUUAGAUAGUGUUAA